rnacentral:rRNA from 1 species
UACGGAGGGUGCGAGCGUUGUCCGGAAUCACUGGGCGUAAAGGGCGCGUAGGCGGCGAGGAUAGUCAACGGUGAAAGCUUGGGGCUCAACCCCGAGUCGGCCGUCGAUACUUCCUUGCUUGAGCACUGUAGAGGCAGAUGGAAUUCCGGGUGUAGCGGUGGAAUGCGUAGAGAUCUGGAAGAACACCGGUGGCGAAGGCGGUCUGCUGGGCAGUAGCUGACGCUGAGGCGCGACAGCGUGGGGAGCAAACAGG